AGAGAAGAACUGGACCGGCCGCCAUGUUGGAGCCCUGGAGCUGCGGCGAGCCGAGGUUUCGAGGGGCUCGUGGAGCCGAAAGGUGGCAUGGUGAGAAUGGUGAGGCUAGGAUGUAGAACUUGAUAGCCUCGCGCACCGGCUAGGACUGAACGGAGGCUACACUGGGGACCUUCAGGGCUGUCGAGCCAGAAAUGCCAUCGCGAGUCGGAGUGAACCGCAACCCGCUGGGGUUGCACAAGGCCUCGCCACCCCGGGACACAGGGAGUCGCUUUACUGAGCGUGGAGAAACCCUUAGACUUCCUGGGGAGACUCUCUGGGCAAAAUGUGUCUUUGUUGUGGUGUGGGGACUCGGGACGACGGGCCUCGCGCCUGUAAGACGAAAAGCUCGCGUGCACCCUGUGAGUGGAGCUAAACCUAGGUUAUUUUUAUUUAUUUAUUUAUUUUUUGCCUUGUCAUUUUUCUUAAUCCCUCAUGAUCAUUUCCUCAGGUGUCAGACCCCUGCUCCCACCACUGAAUUUUCGUUCGGUCGUGAAUUGCAAAGGGCCUCAAAGAAAUCCUUUGCUAGAUAAUGUGAUCGCGAAGGGUUGUGGAGCUUGGCCCUGAAACUGACAAAGGAAGGAUCUACCAAAAGAAGUUAGCACCUAACCUUUCUUACCCCACCAGCGAACGUAAACGACAUUGAAAAGGGACUGCAAGUGAGCAGUCUUUCUCGACUAACGCUAAAUGAACUGUGCUAAAAUACUGCGUAUAUUCGAAGUUGAUAACUGUGGAAAACUUCCCUUUUCUUUUGUUACCUAUAUUGUGCAAAAUAAUGUGUUUUGUUGUGACAUCUUCGUGCAGAUAACGUUAGUUAACACAUCAUCCCCUUCCCUUAACCACUUGGUACCCUUACCGAUGAAAAUACAUUCAGAAUACUUAAAGAACUUUUGAGCCUAUUUGCUCAGCAUCUCAACACCUUUUCUCCAGUAACUCAAACAGUACUGUGUGUUUGUUUUUCAGGUUCUGAAGUUCACUAUAGAAAGAUGCCAAAAGACCUACUGAGGGUCUCUGAAAAGUUAAAAAUGCUGAUAUGCGUAAUUUGAGUGUUUUAUUUUUCCCCUCCUGAGCUUUUCGAAGGAGAUGGCUAGCUCGGUGGUGAGGAUUCCCACAGCACAGUCAAGACCCUGGAUUGUAUCCCUAGCACUGGUCUGUUUGCAUCAGUGAAAAUAUAUACGGUGCCUCUGUUAGAAAUUAAUAAAGUUCCAGUAGGUCUUCCUUUCAAAAAGCUAGGCAGGCUGCUUUUUAAAUUUCCAAAACACAACAGGAACCUUCAAAGAUAUAUGGAGAUGAUGGUACUUAAAAAGGACGUUUUUUCAAAGAUUGGCUUGUGGUGUGAGAAGCAGCCACAGAAGUGGCAGAUGCCAUUCUUGUGGAUUCAGCAACGUGAAGCCUCAGAAGUACUACGCUCUUCUGCUUGUAAUGUUGAUUUUAGCAGGCUCGGAUAAUUAAAGGGCACUAGAAAACAUGUCUUUGCAAGGAUAUAUGCUGAUAAACUAUAUGUGUUAAUGAAUAUAGCCAUUUCCAGAAAUUUAGGUAUGCAGAGAUGCUCAACUGUAACCAUUUAUGUAAGUAGGUAUACAUUCAUAGUCUUUAAGAAUUUUUGAUGAUGCUGUGUGUGUGUAUAUGGUCUUGUUAUAAACUGUAAUCCUGAGUUGUAUCUCUUUUUUUAUACGCAGCUUUAUUGAAAUGAAAUUCACAUAUGCCCUUCACCUACAUAAAGGGUGCAGUCCAAUGGGUUUUAGUUUGCUCAGAGUUUGGGCAAUCAACACAAUUAUACAAAAAACAAACAAACAACAACAAAAAAAUGCAAAACCAUGCUUGUAAGUAUAAGGAAAUAAUUGGGGAAGGAUUUUUGCCUUCUAAAGUGGUAAUACAAAGCUUAUUGUGGGUAAUAUCUUAGAGUACUUCAAUUACAGUUGCAAUACUGUAAGUAAAUAGCAUGUUCCUUGUAUGUACUAAGUGGCCUUUACUGGAAACAUACUAUUUUGUAACAUAGGUUACUGGCAAUUACGUGUCACAGCACUGUCACAGCUGAGAAUUCUUUAAGAGUGAUGCAUACUUACAUUGAUUGCUUUCUUUUUCUGUAGGAUUAUCAUGCUGGGCAUUAUGCCUUCCUUGACUGUAGUCCCUGAGCCUAGUCCAUGCUCAGUGUUCAUGCUUAGUCUUUCUAAACCUUGGCUUCCUUUUUGCUUUUGAGAGGGUUCCUGAGCUUUUUGUUUCCCAAACUGGCAUUGUUCCCCGUGAAGGCUAAGAUUUGUUAUUUUCAUAAAAACUCCAAAUUAAUAUAGUGAAGAGUCAACACAUUUCAGGGUUUAAGGAAUGAAUGGAAUAGAGAAAAGCAGGUACCAAAUGAAGAGGUUUGAAUCUCUGAAAGAUAAAUGUUUGUAGGGGCAGGCAGAAUUAAAAGGGUUUAUUUUAAAUGUUAGAAGCAACAGCCUACUUACUUUUAAAGAUUUAUGUGCUUGGGUAUUUGCUGUCACGUAUGUGCCUGCUAGGGUGCCCACAGAGGUCAGAAGAGAGCCUCAGAUUGCCCUGGAACUAGAGGUUGUUUUGAGCCGCCAUGUGGAUGUUGGAAACUGAACUUGAUCCUUUGCAAAAGCAACAAGUUCUCUUAACCACUGAGCCGUCUCUAUCCUCGCACAACUUUCUAAAUCCCCUCUUAGAAACUAAAGGCCAGUCCUAACUCAGUGCACAGUGAUCAUGUCCUCAAGGAAUCUGAGGACAUUUAAACUUAAACUCUCCUGGGAAACCCAGCCAAAAAGGCAAAGAAAAGGAUCUCUGAAAUACUUUUACAGUAAUUUUCUUGUAUAAUACCCAGUGGUUUGGGUUUCUUUCUAAAACCCAGCACUGUGGAAGUAGAAACAGGGAAACUGUGACUUGGAGCCCAGCCUGGACUAUGUGGGGAAUUCCUGUCCAACCACAGGAAAUUUUUUCAUUGAAUUCUUUGUCUUUUCAUGAUUGCCAUUUUCUUUCAAGUCUUGGCUGCCUGCAUGACCAAACUUGUGUUUUGUGAAUUUUUUAUGACACUACUCAAAAAAGAAAAGAAAAAAAAAGGACAUAAGCAGGGUAUUUACACUUCAUUAAUGCACACCAAACCCAACUGGGAUCUUUAAAACCGUGAUUGGAGAGGGUUAAAAUUCAGUGAACGCGACUGCUCUCUGUUACUGACGAGAGAAAUGCAUAAUGAUUGAAUUUGUUAGAUUACUUUUGUGGGAAAUGUGUGGUUGUACAGAUACAAAAGAUGCAAAAGGAGAGAAGCAACUGAGAGGCAGUAUAGCCCUCUGUAAAUGUCAUAAAUCCAAGUCUAACAAUUAUGAAUCAAAUUUUACAUUGCCUGAAGUUAUUCUCAUCUCAUUACUUGCCUGUUUUCUCUAGAGAUUUAACUAGAAAGAUAAAUGAAGAAAAAACAGCAAAGACAGUAAGAGUUCUAUAAAAUGAAAAACUAGAAAUCAAGGUUCAAAAGACAGUUGGCCUGCACAUAUAUACAUACCUUCCCCUACCACCACCCUUUUUUUUUUUUCCCAGAGACAGAUUCUCUUUAUAGCUCUGGCUGUCCUGGGGCUAUCUGAGAAAACAGGCUGGCCUCAAACUGAUCUACCUUGCCACCCUUUUUUCUCUGCUAAGCUAAUUAGGUAACUAAUUAAUACUUGAGCAAUGAUCCAGAAUAAAUUUCAAGUAACUUAAGUAGAAAUAAGUUGUUUUUUCUUUGAGACAGGAUCUUUCUACGUAGCCUUGCCUGGCUGCUCUAGAACUUACUGUGUAGACCAGGCUGGCCUUAAACUCACAGAGAUCCCCCUGCCUCUACCUCCCUAGUGCUGGGGUUAUAGGCAUGCACCGCAUGUACUAUGCUGAUACAAAAUGAGUUCCUGAUAGCCUGCCAUAGUUGAGGUAAGUAAAUUUUUAGAGGAUACUUCAGUACUAUGACAGAAUUGUCUUUAAAAGUAUUUGACCAUGUGGGAAGUGAUUCCUGUGUGAUAAAAUACACAUGUCAAAUUAAAGUGUUUGUGAAGCCAUUUCUUCUGUACACCUGUGGUCACGACUGAUCAGAAAGUUGAUUUUGUCAUUUAGUAUAGGCUUUAUCAAUAGAAGAAUGUGUUUGUUUGAGUCUCACUUUAAUAUAAUGUUGACAUUCAUUCUGGGAUUUUACUGGUAUAAAAAUUAUAUGCCUACUUCAUUGAGUUUUCCAAAGAAUUAAGGAAGUAUAUGAAAAGUGCUUAAUGUUCCCAAAGGCAGUGUUGUGUAUGAUCUUAGAACACAAACUGAGGGGAAAACAAUCUUUUUCACUAAGAUUCACUAAAUACUAAAAGUUACCACUUUUAAGCAUUAAAAAUUGAAUUUCCUUAUUAUAAAUCUGUGUUCUUUCAGUUUUAACUGCCAUCAAUACUAUAUUUAGUAAUAGCCUAUAUAAUAUGUAAAAUCUCUACAUACACAAUUUGCAGUUAUCCGAAAGACUUACAUUGACAAUUGGAAUGAGAGUAUCUGAAUAAUAGAACUACCCAUUUGGGAGAUAGGAUGUACACAUACCUAAAGUUGUGCUGGUAGGCGGUCUGCUUAAAGAAUGGCAAGUAUAUGAGAACUCCAAAAUCCAAAAUGGAAACAAGACUGUUAGUGUCGAGACCCUCCACUGUUGCACUGACUAUGAUGUCAGUUUAGAGGAGGGAGGUCUGAAUCAGAUCUUAAUUUUAAAAUGUUCUUAGCACAUCACCAAGUUCAGUACUAAGAGAGACAAUUAGACCCAUCUCUUGAAUUCAAGGCCAGUAGGGACUACAUAAUGAGAUCCUGUCUCACAAAACAACAGAAAACACCAACAUGAGUCAUUUGAAGAAUAUUGUCCAACCACAUAAGUGUUUAGAUCCAAUAUAUAGUUAGUUUAGGGAAAUUGUAAAUCACGGGGUUUAUUAAUGUGUCAUUAAAACAAAGGUGUUGCCAGGCAGUGGUAGCGCAUGUCUUUAAUCCCAGCACUUUGGAGGCAGAAUCAGGAUUUCUGAGUUCAAGGCCAGCCUGGUCUACAGAGUGAGUUCCAGGACAGCCAGGGCUACACAGAGAAACCCUGUCUCGGGGAGGAAAAACAAAACAAACAAAAAAAAGGUGUUGAGUAAGAAGCUGCCCUAUAAUAUAUUGAUACUUAAAAGUGUCAAUAUUUGAACCAAAGCUUGAGCUAAUUGUAAAAUUUUGACUCAGUAACAAUUGUGUACUAAGCUCAAGGGCCUAGAGAUACAGUGAUACCCAUGUCCCUCCCUCAAAGUCAUGACGUAGCCUGUUUCAGUGUCAUGGACCCCUUUUUCAAUCUGCUAUCUAGAGAUCUCUUCUAAAACAAAACUUUUUACAUGCAUAAAGUACAGUGGAUUGAUUUAGGGAGAAAGUAAUAAAAAGAAUCUUAAAAUUUAAGUUGUUACAGAGAAAUACAUGGUUUUUUUUAACUGUAGGUUGUCAGCAGCGCCUCAGCUAGUGUCCAGCAGAUAUAUUUCAAACUACCUGCAGCAAUAUUAUAAGAAAAUACGUUUAAUCAGGACAGUCUUCUUUACUGCUAAUACUGUAAUUUUUUACAUUAGGCAUUUUUCUUUAAUUUUUAAGAUUUUAUUUACUUUAUGUAUGAAUACACUGUCGCUGUCUACAGAUGCACCAGAAGAAGAUAUCCGGUCCCAUUAUAGGUAACUGGAGUACCAGAUGGUUGAUAGGAAUUGAACUCUUGACCACUAAGCCAUCUCCCCAGCCCAGAUUUUUCUUUAUUAUAAAAAGUACAAAUAGAAAAACACAUACACACUGAAAUUUACCAAACUAUAUAUGAAGUCUAUAAAUUUUAUAAUAUUUUUAUUUGAGAAUUUAAUACAUUUUGACCAUCCUCCCUGAUUAUAUUCAGAUUUUAAUAGAAGUCACUAAAAGUAAAGAAUUAACUUUUAACUAGUCUUGAAGCACUGUUUAUAAACCCCUGAUUUAAAACCUUGGCUACAAGUUUUAAUAGAAUUCCUUAUGUUCAUUGAUAAUUUCAUACAUGAAAAUAAUAUAAACUUAAUUCUAAGUUGGGCAGUAGUAGUGCAUGCCUUUAAUCUCAGCACUUGUUAGGGUUUGGUGUCAGAGGCAAAUAUAUCUGAGUUCCAGGCUAUCCUGGUCACAGAGCAAGUUCUAGGUCAGAACUACACAGAGAAAGCCUGUCAGGGACAAGGGGAGCCUUCUUAACUCUAGUAACUACUCUCAAUGCUGUACCCAAGGCCAAUUAAGGCUAAUUUAGUGGUACCUCAAACAGAAGAGGCUAGUGGAGUAGGAUAGACACCGGCCUGUGCAAAAAAAAAAAAAUCUCAACAUUGAAAAUGUGCCUUAUCCCAUUUAAGUCAAAAUACUUAUAAAAUGAAUUUAAGGGGCUGGAGAGUGGCUCAUUAUGAGCUGUAAAUUCUUUUUCAUGGAAUCUAUUUACUUUGACCUCUGGGCACAUAAAAGCUCUUAUUGGAUCUCUGAGUUUGAGACCAGCCUGAUCUACAGAGCAGUUUCCAUGACAGCUAAGGUUACACAGCAAAAACCCUUGUCUC
ensembl:antisense 4632427E13Rik RIKEN cDNA 4632427E13 gene